rnacentral:piRNA from 1 species
AAAAAUAUAGGCAAAGUAGACUG